GUCCACGCCCUAAACGAUGCAUGCUUGGUGCGGGUGAUUCAGUUCAUCUGUGCCGGAGCUAACGCGUUAAGCAUGCCGCCUGGGGAGUACAGUCGCAAGGCUGAAACUCAAAGGAAUUGACGGGGGCCCGCACAAGCGGUGGAGCAUGUGGUUCAAUUCGACGCAACGCGAAGAACCUUACCUGGGCUCGAACGGCUGGUUAACGGCGGUGGAAACAUCGCUACUCCGCAAGGAGGUCCAGUCGAGGUGCUGCAUGGCUGUCGU
rnacentral:rRNA from 1 species